rnacentral:rRNA from 1 species
GGCCGAUGCAGUGUUGAUUAUGAUCCAGCCAUGCCGCGUGCAGGAAGACUGCCCUAUGGGUUGUAAACUGCUUUUGUACAGGAAGAAACCUUUCCACGUGUGGAGAGCUGACGGUACUGUAAGAAUAAGCAUCGGCUAACUCCGUGCCAGCAGCCGCGGUAAUACGGAGGAUGCAAGCGUUAUCCGGAAUCAUUGGGUUUAAAGGGUCCGUAGGUGGAUUGGUCAGUCAGAGGUGAAAUCCUGCAGCUCAACUGUAGAACUGCCUUUGAUACUGCCGGUCUUGAAUUAUUGUGAAGUGGUUAGAAUAUGUAGUGUAGCGGUGAAAUGCAUAGAUAUUACAUAGAAUACCGAUUGCGAAGGCAGAUCACUAACAAUAUAUUGACACUGAUGGACGAAAGCGUGGGGAGCGAAUGGGAUUAGAUACCCCCAGUAGUCAA